UACAGAGGUCCCAAGCGUUGUUCGGAUUCACUGGGCGUAAAGGGUGCGUAGGUGGCCAGGUAAGUUUGGUGUGAAAGCUCGGAGCUUAACUCCGAAAAGUCAUUGAAUACUAUCUGGCUGGAGGGUCGGAGGGGAGACUGGAAUUCUCGGUGUAGCAGUGAAAUGCGUAGAUACCAGGAGGAACACCCGUGGCGAAGGCGGCUUUCUAGGAUAUACCUGACACUGAGAAGCGACAGCUAGGGGAGCAAACAGG
rnacentral:rRNA from 1 species